rnacentral:misc_RNA from 1 species
GAUGAAGAACGCAGUGAAAUGCGAUAAGUAGUGUGAAUUGCAGAAUUCAGUGAAUCAUCGAAUCUUUGAACGCACAUUGCGCCCCUUGGUAUUCCAUGGGGCAUGCCUGUUCGAGCGUCAUUUGUACCUUCAAGCUCUGCUUGGUGUUGGGUGUUUGUCUCGCCUCUGCGCGCAGACUCGCCUCAAAACAAUUGGCAGCCGGCGUAUUGAUUUCGGAGCGCAGUACAUCUCGCGCUUUGCACUCAUAACGACGACGUCCAAAAGUACAUUUUUACACUCUUGACCUCGGAUCAGGUAGGGAUACCCGCUGAACUUAAGCAUAUCAAUAAGCGGAGGA